rnacentral:rRNA from 1 species
YCGACGAUCCUACGGGAGGCAGCAGUGAGGAAUAUUGGACAAUGGGCGAAACCCUGAUGCAGCCAUGCCGCGUGUGUGAAGAAGGCCUUCGGGUUGUAAAGCACUUUCAGUUGUGAGGAAAAGUUAGUAGUUAAUACCUGCUAGCCGUGACGUUAACAACAGAAGAAGCACCGGCUAACUCCGUGCCAGCAGCCGCGGUAAUACGGAGGGUGCGGGCGUUAAUCGGAAUUACUGGGCGUAAAGCGCACGCAGGCGGUUUGUUAAGCUAGAUGUGAAAGCCCCGGGCUCAACCUGGGAUGGUCAUUUAGAACUGGCAGACUAGAGUCUUGGAGAGGGGAGUGGAAUUCCAGAUGUAGCGGUGAAAUGCGUAGAUAUCUGGAGGAACAUCAGUGGCGAAGGCGACUCCCUGGCCAAAGACUGACGCUCAUGUGCGAAAGUGUGGGUAGCGAACAGGAUUAGAUACCCUGGUAGUCCACACCGUAAACGCUGUCUACUAGCUGUGUGUGUCUUUAAGACGUGCGUAGCGAAGCUAACGCGCUAAGUAGACCGCCUGGGGAGUACGGCCGCAAGGUUAAAACUCAAAUGAAUUGACGG